GACGAACGCUGGCGGCGUGCCUAAUACAUGCAAGUCGAGCGGACGAAUCGAAAGCUUGCUUUUGAUUCGUUAGCGGCGGACGGGUGAGUAACACGUGGGCAACCUGCCCUGUAGACGGGGAUAACACCGAGAAAUCGGUGCUAAUACCGAAUAACACGAAAUGUCGCAUGACGUUUCGUUGAAAGACGGCGCAAGCUGCCGCUACAGGAUGGGCCCGCGGCGCAUUAGCUAGUUGGUGAGGUAACGGCUCACCAAGGCGACGAUACGUAGCCGACCUGAGAGGGUGAUCGGCCACACUGGGACUGAGACACGGCCCAGACUCCUACGGGAGGCAGCAGUAGGGAAUCUUCCGCAAUGGACGAAAGUCUGACGGAGCAACGCCGCGUGAGCGAAGAAGGCCUUCGGGUCGUAAAGCUCUGUUGUUAGGGAAGAACAAGUAACGCAGUAACUGGCGUUACCGUGACGGUACCUAACGAGAAAGCCACGGCUAACUACGUG
rnacentral:rRNA from 1 species